rnacentral:rRNA from 1 species
GACGAACGCUGGCGGCGUGCUUAACACAUGCAAGUCGAACGGUGAACCAGGGCUUGCCCUGGGGAUCAGUGGCGAACGGUGAGUAACACGUGGGCAACCUGCCCCUGACUCUGGGAUAACUCCUCGAAAGAGGUGCUAAUACCGGAUACGACCACUUCGGGCAUCCGAUGGUGGUGGAAAGAAUUUUUGGUCAGGGAUUGGGGGCCCCGCGGCCCUUAUCAGCUUGUUGGUGGGGUAACGCCCACCAAGGCGACGACGGGUAGCCGGCCUGAGAGGGCGACCGGCCACACUGGGACUGAGACACGGCCCAGACUCCUACGGGAGGCAGCAGUGGGGAAUAUUGCGCAAUGGGCGAAAGCCUGACGCAGCGACGCCGCGUGAGGGACGACGGCCUUCGGGUUGUAAACCGUCUUUCAGCAGGGACGAAGCGAAAGUGACGGUACCUGCAGAAGAAGCACCGGCUAACUACGUGCCAGCAGCCGCGGUAAU